rnacentral:rRNA from 1 species
CCUACGAGAGUCAGCAGUGGGGAAUAUUUCACAAUGGGGGAAACCCUGAUGCAGCGACGCCGCGUGAGUGAGGAAGUAUUUCGGUAUGUAACGCUCUAUCAGCAGGGAAGCAAAUGACGGUACCUGACUAAGAAGCCCCGGCUAACUACGUGCCAGCAGCCGCGGUAAUACGUAGGGGGAAAGAGUUAUCCGGCUUUACUGGGGGUAACUGGAGCGUAGACGGUUAAUCAAGUCAGAAGGGAAAACCCAGGGCGCAAACUUGGGACUGCUUUUGAAACUGAGUAGCUAGAGUGCAGGAGAGGUAAGCGGAAUUCCUAGUGUAGCGGUGAAAUGCGUAGAUAUUAGGAGGAACACCAGUGGCGAAGGCGGCUUACUGGACUGUAACUGACGUUGAGGCUCGAAAGCGUGGGGAGCAAACAGGAUUAGAUACCCCUGUAGUC